CCACCAGGCAAAGGGAUUCAAAGGAUUGCAUGGGAGAAUUCACUUCACAAGAGGCCCCUUUCAGACCCUCUCCAGAGCUAUUUUGCUGUUCAACCUCUUCUGGAUGCCCUCAAGGUCUGGAUGCUGCCAUCCUAUACCUGUAAUGUGACCAAAAAAACCAGUUCUCCUCCUGGAGCUGUGGGACAGUUUGGCCAUAGCCUUUUUAUGUACCCACAGGAAGGUGAUGAGUCCCCACUUCCAAUCUCUUUGAUUUAUCAGCAAGGUGAGUUUCCUGCUAUGGAAAGUAGAGCAGCACAACUGCCAAAGAAGGAGGAAGAGCUCUGCAAGGAGCAGGAGGAAGAGGAGAAAACCCAUUUGGAUGGGGAGAGGAACGUGCCAGAAACACAGAAGUCAGAGAGCAAGAGUUAUGCUGCCCCUCAGGAGGUGAACAAUAUAAAAAAUAAUGUCAUGAUUUCAGAUAUGGAAUAGACACAGCUUAACAAACAGCUCCAUGAAAUGCAAGAAAAGAAGAGUUGUGACCUACAGAUUUGGCAAACUUAGCUGUUGCUAUUUCAGAAGAUAAAAGUGUGCAUCCAUAAGGACAAGGCCUGCAAAUGGAGAGAGCAUCUCUGAGCACACUCCCUUAAUGCUGAUUUCUGCACUGGUACCAAAGCUGCAGUAAACCUGAGAGGUGAACCUGUCCUCCAUUGGAGCCUGUGGGAUUUUGCCCACUGCAAUGAAAACAAUUGAAAAGGGCACUGUAAGGAACACUAUGCUGUAAAAAUCAUAUGCUUGCUGUUCUCAGUUUUGUACCUCUCACUGGUGAUUAAAAUUGCUCUACAAAGACUCACAUCCUGUCUUUCAUUAAGUGUUCCACUGGCUUGCUGAGCAUUGCAGAAGAGGUACAGCAUUGCCUCAGGUUAAGCAUGAAUUUUCUUUUUCAGUACUGUGCCAAGUUUUUCCUCUUUGAAGAUAUCAUUAAAAACACCUCAAAGUUCCUCUGCCUCACACAAUGUUGUUUUCAGGAAUUGCUUGAG